AAGUCGUAACAAGGUUUCCGUAGGUGAACCUGCGGAAGGAUCAUUACUGAGGUUACCGGGGGUGAGUUGAUGGGAUGCAGGUGCUGGCGCUUUCAUCGGCGCAUGUGCACGGCUCUCCUUCUCGCCUUCGUUCCUUCUAUCAACCCCUGUGCACUAUAAUAGGAUUAGAGAGAAGCGCGUUGUUUAGGGAUUUAAUCUAGUAGUCGUGGGUCCGCCCUCGACGAAAGGUUAGUCUGUAAUCGGCGGCGCGUGGUACCUCGAACUCCUUAUUACUACAAACCACUAUAUAUGUCUUGUCAGAAUGUUUAGUCCCUCGUGGACGCUAAGUUAAUACAACUUUCAACAACGGAUCUCUUGGCUCUC
rnacentral:misc_RNA from 1 species